rnacentral:rRNA from 1 species
UUAUUAUGUAUUUAAAAACACUUGGGUAGUAUUAGUUAUGUUCUUGAAACUUAAAAAAUUUGGCGGUAUUUUAGUCUAUUCAGAGGAACCUGUUUUAUAAUCGAUAAUCCACGUUGAAUCUUACUUAAAUUUGUUUAUCAAUUUGUAUACCGUCGUUAUUAGAAUAUUUUAUAAGAACAAUAAUUUUCAAUAAUUUUUAUUAUAAUCUAUAUCAGAUCAAGGUGCAGUUUAUAUUUAAGUAAUAAUGGGUUACAAUAAAGUUAUUUAUAUGAAUAAAAAUAUGAAAAAAUUUUUUGAAAUUGGAUUUGAUAGUAAAAUUAUAUAGAUUAUUAAUUUGAUUUUAGCUCUAAAAUAUGU